AUUGAACGCUGGCGGCAGGCCUAACACAUGCAAGUCGAACGGUAGCACAGAGAGCUUGCUCUCGGGUGACGAGUGGCGGACGGGUGAGUGAUGUCUGGGAAACUGCCCGAUAGAGGGGGAUAACCACUGGAAACGGUGGCUAAUACCGCAUAACGUCGCAAGACCAAAGAGGGGGACCUUCGGGCCUCUCACUAUCGGAUGAACCCAGAUGGGAUUAGCUAGUAGGCGGGGUAACGGCCCACCUAGGCGACGAUCCCUAGCUGGUCUGAGAGGAUGACCAGCCACACUGGAACUGAGACACGGUCCAGACUCCUACGGGAGGCAGCAGUGGGGAAUAUUGCACAAUGGGCGCAAGCCUGAUGCAGCCAUGCCGCGUGUAUGAAGAAGGCCUUCGGGUUGUAAAGUACUUUCAGCGGGGAGGAAGGCGAUGUGGUUAAUAACCGCGUCGAUUGACGUUACCCGCAGAAGAAGCACCGGCUAACUCCGUGCCAGCCGCCGCGGUAA
rnacentral:rRNA from 1 species